UCCUCAGCAGCUUACUGGGAACUCUAGAA
rnacentral:piRNA from 1 species